rnacentral:lncRNA from 10 species
ACAAUGAAUGAGAAUCUCAUGUUGUUCUUCUAGUCCUGCAUGGAUGCCAAAGCUUCCUUCUACAGAAUCAGAGCAGGGAGUCAUAGGACUAAAGGAGCAAUGUAUUUAUUUGGAGUAAAGUUGAUUCAGGCCCUUCAUUUAUUCAUUCAACAAAUACAUCUUGAGUGUCUCUUAGGGGUAAGACAUUGUGCAUGAUACAAACAAAUCUGGAUCAGACACAGUAUCAAC